GCGGGUAUAGUUUAGUGGUAAAACUCUAGCCUUCCAAGCUAUGGAUGCGGGUUCGAUUCCCGCUACCCGCU
rnacentral:tRNA from 2 species